AACUUGGUAGUUCAGUUGAUAGAGCAGUGGAACAGAAUCCCUAAGUCGUGAGUUUGAUCCUCCCCUGGGUUC